GGAGAUAUAGCUCAGUUGGUAGAGUACUUGCCUCCCAUGUACAAGGCCCUGGGUUCAGUCCCCUGCACCACCA
rfam:Ictidomys tridecemlineatus contig133918, whole genome shotgun sequence.